UACGAAGGGGACUAGCGUUGUUCGGAUUUACUGGGCGUAAAGCGCGCGUAGGCGGAUCGCUAAGUCAGGGGUGAAAUCCCAGGGCUCAACCCUGGAACUGCCUUUGAUACUGACGAUCUGGAGAUCGGGAGAGGUUGGUGGAAUUCCGAGUGUAGAGGUGAAAUUCGUAGAUAUUCGGAGGAACACCAGAAGCGAAGGCGGCCAACUGGCCCGAUACUGACGCUGAGACGCGAAAGCGUGGGGAGCGAACAGG
rnacentral:rRNA from 1 species